UACGUAGGUGACAAGCGUUGUCCGGAUUUACUGGGCGUAAAGAGCGCGCAGGCGGCCAAGUCAGUCGAAUGUGAAAGCCCCCGGCUUAACUGGGGAGGGUCAUUCGAUACUGCUCGGCUCGAAGACAGGAGAGGGAAGCGGAAUUCCCGGUGUAGUGGUGAAAUGCGUAGAUAUCGGGAGGAACACCAGUGGCGAAGGCGGCUUUCUGGCCUGUUCUUGACGCUGAGGCGCGAAAGCUAGGGGAGCAAACGGG
rnacentral:rRNA from 1 species